UAGCUUCAGCGAUGGAUCGGUUGAUUCACGUAUCGAUGAAAAACGCAGCUAGCUGCGUUAUUUACCACGAAUUGCAGACGCUUAGAGUGGUAAAAUUUUGA
rnacentral:rRNA from 1 species